AUUGAACGCUGGCGGCAGGCCUAAUACAUGCAAGUCGAGCGGAGCUGGGGACGGGUGAGUAAUGACUAGGAAUCUGACUGGUAGUGGGGGAUAACGUCCGGUAACGGGCGCUAAUAUCGCAUACUAUCAGAUGAGCCUAGGUCGGAUUAGCUAGUUGGUGGGGUAAAGGCCUACCAAGGCGACGAUCCGUAACUGGUCUGAGUGGGUGAUCAGUCAGACUGGAACUGAGACACGGUCCAGACUCCUACGGUAGGCAGCAGUAGGGAAUAUUGGGCAAUGGGCGAAAGCCUGAUCCAGCCAUGCCGCGUGUGUGAAGAAGGUCUUCGGAUUGUAAAACACUGUUAGUUGGGAAGCGUUACCUACAGAGUAAGCACCGGCUAACUUCGUGCCAGCAGCCGCGGUAAUAC
rnacentral:rRNA from 1 species